UUCAGUUCUCACUUACAGAUGCAGUCACCCAGUGACAGAAUGUGAAGCUAAGUGUGGUGAUCAUGGUUUUUAACUUCACAGUAGCCACAGAUGAGGAAAAACAAACCUGGUUUCUUAAUGUUGUUCAGUGUAUCUGCUGCUGUAUUUUAGCUCCAUCGUGAUGACACAAGGCUAGGGCCAUCUGUGGACACACUUGAGGACAUUUGUCCUUGCUGAGACUACAGCUGUGCAUGCCCCAUGUAGACCCACCACCGCAGAUGUUUCCUCAGGAGAAAAAGAAGUCAGCUACCCAGGAAGGGUGACCUCUGCCCUUCCCUGCCUCUUGCUGUCUGUCACCUUCACUGGGAACUCACUAAGCUUUGCUCUGCAGGAAGCACAAUUAAAUGCUAACAUCUCCAUUGCACUCCCAUCAGGCUCACUUUCCAGCUUGAUCUCUGACCUGUCUUGUCACCACAAACUUACCUGGUGAUCUGUUCUCCUGGCUGAGCCUGGCUGCCUUACUCUGGGUACUGUGGGACUGGGCUUCUGGCUCUCUGAUCAGCUGAACCUUGCUGUGCCCUGUUGUUUUGGAUGUCGUCUGUUUUCUCUCUGUAACAAUGGAAGGAGACAGGUAAGAGCUAUACAGAAAGCUUUCUAAUAGAAGCUUUAAUAAUUUCUUUUUUUUUCCUAGUAAAACUACGUGAAGGUUAGAUAGUUUCAGUUUAGUAUAUAUAUAAUUGAAAACAACAAAAACUGCUUCUUUUUUGUUCUAUCUUUUAGAGAUUUUUCUAUGUUCCACAAUAGAAUAAACCAGAAACUCUAGCAAUUCUUCUGGAUAAU
rnacentral:lncRNA from 1 species